rnacentral:rRNA from 1 species
UACGUAGGAUCCAAGCGUUAUCCGGAAUCACUGGGCGUAAAGCGUGCGUAGGCGGAUGCGUAAGUGAGAUGCGAAAUCCAACGGCUCAACCGUUUGGACUGUAUUUCAUACUGCGCGUCUAGAGGACGGCAGAGGUCAGUGGAAUUGGUAGUGUAGCAGUGAAAUGCGCAGAUAUUACCAGGAACACCAAUGGCGAAGGCAGCUGACUGGGCCGUUUCUGACGCUGAGGCACGAAAGCGUGGGGAGCGAACAGG